CACGUAGGGGGCAAUCGUUGUCCGGAAUCAUUGGGCGUAAAGAGCUCGUAGGCGGCUCAGUAAGUCGGGUGUGAAACCCCCAGGCUCAACCUGGGGACGCCACCCGAUACUGCUGUGGCUAGAGUCCAGUAGGGGAGUGUGGAAUUCCCGGUGUAGCGGUGAAAUGCGCAGAUAUCGGGAGGAACACCAGCGGCGAAGGCGGCACUCUGGGCUGGUACUGACGCUGAGGAGCGAAAGCGUGGGUAGCAAACAGG
rnacentral:rRNA from 1 species